UCGCUGCAUCGCUCGCUGCAUCGCUGCAUCGGCAGUGAAUUUCAUCAACCGCCUGCUGGGCAACAUGCUAGGGUUGCUGUCUCUCAUGGGAGAAGAACUUGUCUUCGUUGCUUUGUAUUUAUUUUCAGAACUUAUUAAGAGACUUUAAGGACUUGUUGGAACAUCCAGUGAAGUUAUCCUGGACGGUUUGUUUAGUUUUUUUAGCAGUGAGUGUGGAGGAGGAUGCAGAGGAGGCUCAGGAGAGUUGGACGACAGGGUGAACAAAGCUGCGUUGAAUCGGUUUGACUGCAGAGAUGAGACGAGCCGGCUUCCAGCCGCUCUCUGCCAGUUGCUUAGUAACUGGUGUUUUCAGCUAAAGUCUACAGUCAAAAUGUCCAAAUUAAAGAGGACCUGAAGGGACAGGUGACCAACACAAACACAUUCCUCCCAGCGACACAAAGGGACGUCGGCGGCAGCGCGGCGUCUCGCUGACAUCAACAGCGGGGCCCCCUCAGGCGACCUGCACACCCUCUGCUGUAAUGGGCCUCCUCAUGGUUGGAGGUCUCCUGUCAAAAACCCCCCGGAGAAGAGCGAGGGCUUGGAGUGGGAAUAAAGAAUGGGAUGGAAGCGGGAGCGCUGCUCUGCUCUGGGCCAGGUGUGAACGCUGGAAGGUGGCACGGUUCGCUUCCUGAGUGGAUGAAGACAUCGAACCUAAACACAACGGGCAGAUUUCUGCUUUAUUCUGGGUUCAGACAGAUACUUUAGGCCUCUGGAGGAGAGGUGCUAAACCUGAAGCCUGCUGUAAAAACACAAAAUCUUAGCAUAUUUUUUAUCUAGUUUCUGGUUCAAACAUCUUGAAAUAAGACAAACUAAUUUAUAAGUAUCUUUUUAGCAAGAUGUUUUAAGUACAUAAUUCAUUAGUUUUGGUGAAAAAGUUUGAGCAAGGAAAAUUAAAGACGUUACCUAGCAACCCCAGCUCGUCUCCCAGCAACCAGCAACUGGGGGAAGUGACAUCAUCAAUCACCGGAGCCUUUUCAUCAACGUUAAGGAAUUAUUUACUGAAAAUAAAAUGUUUGCCAUAUUUCACGUGUAAUCAGAUAUUUGCACCAGAAACUGGACCAGAAAUUCUUGGUGAGAUUUUGAGUUUUUACAGUGCUGAAACCAACUUUUAGCUUUUUUUUUUUUUCUCCAUGCAGACGGGCAGAAAGCCUGGAGCGAUCUUCCUCCCUCCUCCUCUUCCUCCUCAGCAGGACCCAAUCUCUGCUCUUCGCCUGGUAAACCUUUAGGUUUCUGAAGAUCUCCGGAGGGGAGCGUCGCUGCAAGGAAGGUGACCGAACCUUUACCUGAAAGGAACAAAGAACCGACAUAAAGUUUUACAGGAUGGUUUUCUUUUUUUAAUUUCCUCUCUGAGGGGGAAGGAGACUUUUCUUCCUGUGUUCAUCAGAGCCUCUGCUGAUUGAAAUCAGCAGGAUCAGGAGGAAUCGAGGAUAUGAAAUCUUAUCCAUUUGAAUUAUGGCUGGAUUGUAUUGUGUUAAAAGUUGCAGGAAGGAUUUUUUAUUUUUUUUAUUAUUAUUAUUAAGUUCUGGAGCGCCUCGCGUCAAUCCCAGACAGAGAUCUCCAACAGAGAUGGAGUAUAAAACUAUUCAUUCAUUCAUUUAUUCAUUUAUUCAUUCAUUCAUCCUCCCGCCCUCCCAUCAGGGUGUCUUCGGAUUGAAGCUGUAACCAUUCAACGGUUUCUUAAACACAUUUUUCCAUUUAAUUACAGAAGGAAUCACCGUCUCUUCACUCUCAUUAACUCAACGUCUCUAAUUGCUGUUUAAUGGCAGUUUGUGAUUUAUAAUAUUAGCUUCUCAGCCAUGAAUCAACUGCUGUAUUUAACAAAGUCUACAUUUUAUAUCUUUAUUUAUAAUUAAGAUUUCAUCUGCAAAAGUAUCAGAUAAACUCCGUCUUAUUUGCCUCACAGAAAACAUGAUAGUGGUAAUUAAAAAUCUAUACAACCAUGUUAAAAUUUCAGCUUUAUUGAUGCAAACAUAACUUUAUUUUAUCAUCUGGGGUGAAGAAUGACCUUUUAAACGGUGAUUCUGAUUUUCUACUGGCAAGAGUUUUAAGUUGAUGCAUAAUUCUGAAAACAGAAUUAAGAGAAUUUCAACAUUUUUAUUUAUUUAUUAUUCCCCCUUCAAGAUUUCAGUGUGUAUCUAAAGUGGGAUAUAUUGGUCACAAAUCCACAGAGUAGGAUUAGAGCCACAAUAAAAGAGACUUUAAUAACAAAAUUCUGAUUUUAAUCUAAAAAAUCUCACAGUUUUUCUCUGGAAUCUGACUUUUAAUCUCAAAAUUCAGAUUUUAAAUUCAGAAUUCUCAGAUUUGAAAACCCAAUCUGGGAUUAAACUCAGUUAUUACUUUAAAAUAUUUUUUUUUAAUCCCCUUUUUCUCAGAAUGAUCACUCUAAUCUCAGAAACCUCACUCAUUUAAAAAAAAAAAACAUGGUGUUAACACUGAAAUCUACCGAAUAAAUUCAGCACAGGCUUACAGUGCAGGUUUGCAAAUCAUUUGUUUCAUAAUUUAUUUUAAUUUGCUAACGUAAGAAUGUUUGGUUAUUAAUUUGAAUUUACACAAAAUUAGAAAUAUAAGUUGAGUUCUUAGAUAAAAGUCAAAAUUUGGGAUUUAAAGUCAAAAAUGCAUAGAUUUUUUAUUUUUUUUUUUUGUAGGUAGCACUGAUCUUCUUCCAUAGAAAAUACAAAACAAAACCUGCCAUUUCAACAGGAGUGUACAGGUUUUUAUACCCACUCUUGUAAAGCAGAAACAUUUAUUUUCUGAGUGUGAUGACACUCAUAACCACGCAGUUCACUUCAUAUGCCUGUCUUGUAAACACAGUCACUCAUAGGGAGGAAAUGCUGCCCUGCACAAACUACUGCUGACUGUCCCAGCGUCUCACUGCCAAACUAAACCUCUCCUCCAUCCCUCCGUCCUCUCUGCCGAUUUAUACCUUUACUCGUUUUAUCUCCUCUCCUCUCCCUCCACUUUCAUUGGAUUUUUUUUAAUCUCCGCUGGCUUUGCCACCUUGACAGGUAAAUACAUUUGAGUUGCUAAAGCUCAUAAAGGAGUAAAAUGGUGAUAAAGGAAGAAAAUAAUUCUCCAAGACGUCUCACUGUCUUAUCUUUCCACUUGCUCUCGCGCCUGUCUCCCCUUGAAAGAGCUAAAACUCUCAUUACUUCGCUGUCAGCUGCUGCAGAAAGAAAGAAGAAAAAAACCUCUGUAGGCUUUUCACUGCAAAAACACAAAAACCUCACCGAGUAUUUCUGGUCUAAUAUCUUAGAAAACCUGAAAUAAGGCAAACUAAAUUAAAAUGAAAAUGAAAAUGAAGCAAGUUGUAUAGAAGCUUGUUUAAAGUAAACCAUUCCUUAUUAUUGAUUAAAAACAAGUUUUUUCUAUUAGCAGGAAAAUUAUCUUGUUUUGUGGGGAAAAUGUAUUUUUAUAAGUGAAAAACCUUUUCACCAAUAUUUAAGUGCACCUUUAGCUAAGCUAAUUUUUAGUAAAUAAUUUCUUCAUAUUGAUUUUAAGAAAGUAGUUCCAUUUCCAGAUUAUUUAACUUAUAACAUGACAUUCUUCCCAUGUCAUAAUUUAAUUUUAAAAAAGCAUUUUUUCAUCAAUGUUAAGGGAUUAUUUACUUAAAACAAGCCUUCAUAUUUUGCUGAAGAUUUACUUUUGAGUAAUUUAAACUAGACCAAAAUUACUUGGUGAGGUUUUGUGUUUUUGCAGUGUUAGUGAAGUUGGAUUAAGAUGCUUUAAUUUUUAAACAUUCAUAAAUCCACACAGUGUGUUUCAGUUGACAUUGAGACAACUUUUCUUAUUUUGUUUGAUAUAAACUUAAUUAUUUUAGCUUUGGUCUUCGGAGACUCAAGACAAGCAUUUAUUUUUUUAAACAUAAUUUCAAUUGGUAUUUAAUUUAAUUUAAUUUAUUCAUUUAACAUUUGCAACAUGAGAUCAUUACUUUGUUUUAUGAGCUACUGAGAAUAAAUUAUAAUUUCUUUACUUAUUUAAAAUGAACUAAUUUUUUAUGGUAUUGUCAACAUUUCUUUAAAAAUGAAGGUGUCCAGAAAAGAUGCAUUUUUUACAAUAUUGACUGUUUUCAGUGGACAUUGUCUGAUGAACCAAGGCUUGUGCAUCUAUUUAUGGAUUCUGUACUUUUCUAAACUGCAUUCUGCAUAUUAACAAAAAGAAAUGUUUACAGCUCAUAGCAAAAACAUCACGUUCAGUCUAAUGUAUUUACAUGUUUCAUAAUGGAAGGACAUGGAAAUGGAAACAUUUACCAAAGGAGUCGUUGCUUUUAGGCUUCAAAUGCAUAAAAUUAAAAAAAUAUAAAUGGGUAAAAACUACAGAAAAGGAUUAGAGUCAUUGGAAGAAUAAGAAUUUUGGAAGUAAAGUCGCAAUUCUUAAUCUCAGAAGUCUGAUUUGGUUUUUCCUUAGAAUUCUGUUUUAAUUUCAGAAAUCUGAACUUUUUUUCAUUUUAUUACAUAAUUUUGACUUUUAUCUCAAAAUUCUUAAUCUCUGAAUUUUGACUUUUGAUUUUGGGAAAUUAAAGAUGGAAUUCUGAGAAAAAAGUUUAAAAAAUUUCUUUGGUGACAUUUUAUUUGACGGGUUGUGAAUAAGACUGUCAUGACACCAUCAUAAACAUGUAAUAACACUGUUAUAAACAUGUAAUAACACCUGUUAUAAACACGAGUAAGUGUUGAUGUAACUUACUGAAUGUCACUUUACAUGACAACAGUCAUAAAUAUUGAUAAAGACUUACUCCUGUUCAUGACAGGCAUUGUGACAUGUUCAUCACAGGUGUUGUGACAUGUUCAUCACAGGUGUUGUGACAUGUUCAUGGCAGGUGUUAUGUUUAUGACAGGUGUUAUGACAUGUUCAUGGCAGGUGUUAUGACAUGUUUAUGACAAUGUCACGACAGUCUUAUUCACAACCAAAUAAAUAUCAAAUAAAGUGUUACAUUUUCUUUUUUUAGUGGCUCUGACCCAAACAGUUGCUGUGAGAAGAAAAGACAUUUUCUUUGUGUUUUUUCUGUUCAAGCUGCAGCUGUUCAACUUUUCUUGCAGGAGUCGAGUCUUCGGUAAAACUUUGUGUCUUUAAACCCUUUAAUUCUGCCGUCUGCCUUUCAAACCAUCCUCACCUUUCUCUCCCUUCUUCACUAUUGUUUUCUCCUCCGCAGCUUCAUCCCCUCUCUCUCUUUGCAUCCUUCCUCUCUCUGUCCUCCUCUUCCUCUUUGCCUUACACUAAGUCUGUUUACAUAGGAUUAGAAACUCAAGCAGUGCUCUUGCUGAUGUUUUUUACCCUUUAAGGGAGUCGGGACAGGAAAUCUGUCUCUACUGAGUGUUUGUUUAUAACGUGUGCGUGUUUGUGCUAAACUUCGGGCCUGGCCGCGGCUUCGUAGGUGAAUUUCACCCUGAGGCUGUUGGUUUACUCUUUACUUUCACACCGUACUUGAAGGAAAAAUCCACCUGGAAACAUAGCAGAAUAAUUGGGUCCUGUUGCAAAAAGGCAUAGAGGUUGGAAGUGUCAGAGGGUCUGGGGGCUGGAGAUGGAAACAAGUUCUACAAAGAAAAAUAACUGCAAAGUUCAUUAAAAAAAAGUACAUGAAGCAGACACCUCCAGAUUUAUGAGAGAAAAUGUACUGUAAAAAGUCUGAAAGAAAUGUGCUUAAAAUAUUGCAUGUUUCAGUAUGAACAAUAUUUUACAGGUUGUUGGUUUUGUCCCCAAAUUAAAUAUUUGUAAAAACGUUUUAAAAGAGGUGUGUGUGGUUAUCUCCACUAAACUGCCAUCUUGAAAAACAAAUAAAUUAUAAGACAGUAAUUAUCUGAAAUUUCACAAUCUGGUUACAUUAAGCCAAAACUUUCACCAGGUGAUUCAUCUCUGUUAGAGAAUAAAACUUUACAAUCUAACUUUCAAUCAUCUAUAUCGUUGCAUAGGGCUGAUUGAUGAACAACCCUGGGAGAUUAUUACUUUUGACUGCCAAUAAUAAAUCAAUUGCUCCUUAGAGACUCUACAUUGAUAACUGAGGAGCUUACACUCGUGCUACACUAUGCAAACGCUCAGUCUGCACAGAUGAAAAAACACUUACCCCGGUAUGUUGAAUGGGACAAACAAUGGGAGCUGACCCUAUUUUCUAUGAAUAAAAAAUAUUACAGCCAUCAGAGGAAAAGUCACCAAGACAACAAGUCCUCUUUUUAUUUUCAGUUUAUUUGAAAUGGAACUAACCAUCUUUAUUGAACCUCUUAUAUUCAGAACCAUCAACACUUUUCUAAAGACACCGACACCCUGAACAGCUCAUACUUCAUUUAUUUAACAGUAUCUAAAUUUAUUCUUGUUUGGACUUAUGCAAAACAUAUUUUAGACAUUUUUUUCAGCAUCGGUGACAAGACAGGUGCCUAAACAAUGGCACCUAGUGGAGCAGCUGACCCUGCUUUGUACAUCAGCCUCUAUGGCACCAAUAGGAAACCAUAUGACAACAGGUUAAUAAUUAUUUGUCCAAAAUGGUUGCCUCAGCAGAUUAAACAUGUCCUUACCGUAUUGUUAAAGUUCUCACUAGCUGUGUUCUAGUUAGCAGCACAGAUCGUUUACUGCUAGCUUGUAAACCACUACAAGUUCAAUUGUCAAAUAUCUAGUUUACUAAACAAGCUAGUUCUGAACUAGCUUGUUUAGUAAACUAGCUAGUGGUUUAACAUUAUCUUAUUAGCUAAUUGUUCACUGGUUUACACCAAGUUGGUGUAAACGACAACAAAGUAGUUGUGGUACAAGCUAGCUAGUGGUUUACUUCUAGCUUGAGCAUUGGUAGCUACCAAUGCUAAUCCAAACUCACCAGGAAUAAUAUAUGAAAAUAAUUAAUUUCAGCUUUUAUUUCUGUGCUGCUACAGCUAGUAGACUUUAUGUUGUUAAAGAAGAAUUGUGAUACUUUAGUAAAGUAACUUUUUACAUCCUUCAGCCUUCGCUUCCUGCUGUAAUGGCCGCGGUCAUCAAACAUCAAUGUUGUUUUUAAGUCAGAAGAAAACAGCAUUUUGUUUUUCAGAGCUCACCAAGGUGCAUUUUUCCUUCAAGUACCGCGUGUUGGGAAUUAAACUGUGAAGUCUCCUGUUUUAAAUGCGCUUUUUGAUGACUAAAUAAUGAACUGUUCACUCUGGUCUUUUCAUGUCUUGUGGCUUUGAAAAGGUGUCACCUACAGUACAAGAACAAACUGGUAUAAAGUUUAGCUCAGUGUUUUCAGGGUUUUUGUACCAGUUAUACGUCCUGCUCUCUGCAGUGUUUCUCUAUCUGGUGACAACUGUGAAUUUCUCUUUGGAGUCGCAACAAAAAAAUCAGAAAACAAAUAAUUGGUUCAUUUUUGUUUUGUUUUGUUUUUAUUUUCUCAAAUUUACAUUUUUGGUAAUAAAGUUAGCUGCUUCACGGAAACAAGUUACUUUCUGCAAAACAGGAAAUGUAAUUGGUCUCAACACUGUUAUGUUAAAAACAAGCAAAUAAAUGUCAGACGCUAAGGAUAAAAAAAUGCACAACUGUUUUAUUUUUUUACAGAAUUAUUUAAAGCUCUGAGUAGCUUUAAAAUUUGUGUUUUAAAGAUAGCUUUAAAGAUGACUUUUAAGCUUUUUUAAGAAAAACAAAGUUUAAAGGUAAUCUUAUACUGUUUAGCAAACAUUUUCUAUGAGGUUAUAAAUACAUUUUGCAUAGUAGCUGUUAAACAUUAUGUUAAAUUAUAACUAAAUAUUUUGUUUUAAUGGGUUUUCAGAGUAAAACACUCAGUUUUUAUGUUACAGUUCUGAGCCUGCAGAUGACAAAAAAUGUAUUUUUUUAUGUUUUGUCUUUCCAGCGGUUUUGAUUUCUUUGCUUACAUAACUGUGUGAUGCGGUAAUCUCUCAGCUGUCGCUUUAAUCUGCUGUUUUUUACAGUGAAGGUGACGUGCAGACUGUGUGUCAGUGUGUGAUCAGAGCUUCAGUGCAUUCUCCCAGUGGUUGCAAGUCGUCACGUUAAAACCCGAGGAGUAGAUUUACCUCCCUGCCUUCUGUUUCUGUCUGACGCUGCACUUCUGUUUUGUAAAGAAAUAAAAACUCCUGUUGGGUCUUAA